rnacentral:tRNA from 1 species
GGUCUCGUAGCUCAGCUGGUAGAGCGUGAACUGUACAAAGGUGUAGGCUAUGUCCAUGUGUGGGUUCGAAUCCCAUCGAGGCCA